GUUUUGAUGCAUACAGGAGGUAACGUGUCACCGCGGUCCUAGGUGAAAUUAAUCGCAUCAGAUGCAAGGAACGAUGACACGAAAUACAGGUGCCAUUAAAACAGUUUUCAUAGCUUUAAUUGUGCUGGGAUGGCUGUACACGAUGUACAAAUACCAUGAAACCUCGGAAAAGCUUCAAACUUCAAGGCAAGUUGGAGAGAGGAUACGCAAAGAACAAGAGAAGUUGUCAAGCAAGCUGCAAGAUACACUCACCGAGGCAGAAGACCAUCGCCAGAAUUGUGAUAGGGAAAAGAAAGAGUAUGACAGAAGACUUCAGUCUCAACAACAACAGCAUAAAAUGUUACAGGCCCAGCAUCAAGAUCUUGAGGCAGAAUUGACAAAAAUUCAAAGGGAGAAGGAGAAAGAAGCGGAAGAUCGACAGUCUGCAGAUUUACAGCGAACGCAGGAAUAUGAGCGGCUUAAGCAGGAAAAAGAAUUAGAGAUCUCUAAUCUGAAAGAUGAAGUUGCCAAUGUGAAAAGAGAGAAAGGAAAUCUUGAAGAGCAGAUACAAAGGUUGAAUAGCCAACUACAGAGUUUGCAGGGCAAUCAACAGCAGCCAAUAAAUGCCAACCAACAGCAGGCAGGAGGCAAUGUUGAUACAAUGAAUGCUGCGGAGAAAGAGAAACUGAUGGAGCACCACCAGCAGCAACAUCAGAUGGCCCCGCCCAAAAUGGACGACAAGGAGAGGGACCCAGAACAGCACGAGAAGGUACAGGAAAGCACAGGAAGUCCAAUAAACCAGGCCGCGGUGGAACAACGCAAAGAUUUAGAGGAGCAUCCAAAUAUUAAACCACCUGAAGUGUUGGAUGUGGAAGAAGUAAAAUAUGGCGAGCAUAAAAAGGAUGAAAAAACAUCUGAUAGUAAAAAUGUGAAACCAAAGCUAGGGGACCCUGUUUUACAAGUGGCUCCUCCCAAUGAAAAAGUGGAAAGGCCAGGGAAUGUGGAGGAGAAUAUGAAUAUUCUGCCUCCAGGUGGAGAUAAUGGUAAAGGUAUUCAGGAUUCUAAAAAGGAACAGAACUUACAACCUCCCAGAGUUGUGUGAUGAAAAAAAAAUCUGAUUUAAAAAAAUAUCUAUUAACAUUUUUUGUGGGAUAUCUUUUUAUCUUAAACUAUGUACUUAUAUAUAGUGGUGUAUCUAUUCAGUGCAUUCACAUAAAAUGUGCAUUUACCUGAAUGUUAAUCCUGAUAAGUGUGGAUCGCCAGGUAUUUAUUGUAAUAGGUGAUGCUGGAGUAUCUGUGUAUUCCCGAAUGUGAUUGACAGAUAUAUUGCAAGUGAAUUCCAAUGAUUUGUAAUAAUUUGAUUAAGUAAGUUAAUUAAAUUAGCUAAUGAACCGUUAAGUAACAGGUACCUGCUACUUAUACUACCGGUAUAUGUAUAAUUAUAUACACUGUAGUAAAAUACUUUUAAGCAAAAACGAAGGAAAAAAUGUCUUCCAUACUUUUGUGAAAGAAAUUAUUAAUAAUGAGAUUUAAUCAUUGUUAGAUGUUAAUUACCAUAUGUGACAUUGAUUAUGAAUUUGAUUCUCAGUGAGAUGCUAGUCAUUCUGUAAAUAGCUGUAGAGAAAGAUUAUUGCGGUGAGCUUGAAU
rnacentral:misc_RNA from 1 species